GGAAAUGAAUAAGAGGACUUGAAAAUUGAAAACUGGUCGAAAUAACCCCGCGUCAAAAUGAUAUACAUGGGGUAGUCACGGCCGAGAUGAUUUGGUUUUGCUUUUUAGCAAGAAAAAAAAUAUAAUGAUAUGAAAUAAAGAAUUGCUUUAUCAAAACAAAUUUAAACCAUUCAUGUGAUUGAAUGUCCAGGAUAUCAACCAAUAUGAGUUGUCUUUCGUGCUUAAUUUACUUUACAACUAUGACAAGGGAAUGAUAAGAAUUGUUACUAUAUUCAGUAGUAUAUUCUCACUAUAUAAUUCUAGACAGACGAGUGGUUAAAAACUGUAAUAUUAUCGGAAUGGCUAAGGAAUAUUUUCUUCGUUUGCAGCCACCAGUGGAGGACUGUUUAUGCUUCGAAGGGAUAUGGGUGAUACAUUAUUACAUUCAUACAUGUAAAUAAAUAGAAGGAACUGGUUUGGACUUGUUUCAUUGAGGAAAAUUGUUCGGCAGUCCAUCGCCUUUAUGUGUGUGCCGAGUCUCAAUAUUUUACCUACGAACGACAACUCAAGAAUAAUUGCAGAACUGUGCAUUCGGGUUGACAUACCGUUGAUCAGCUAGACAGAUUGUACAAUUCCGUAUAAAAAAAAGAAAGAAUUGCAAAUAAACGGGGCAUUAAAACUUGUCCUUGUUUGAGAUUUAUUUGCCAAAUUAUCGGAUACAUUCUUUUAGACAAUGUUUGAAAUAGAAACAUUCUAGCAUACAACCGAUUUGAAAGUUGCAUGUAAAUUAUACUUUUAUAUAGACUGUUCAUAUAUUGUUUUCCUUGAAAUGCCAUCGUGGAUUAAUUGCUGUGUAAAGUAAUCUUGCAAAGUUUUCUCGAUCGAGUCUACCCAUCUGCAUGUUAUAUUGAAGUAAACUGAUAUUGGUAAAUAUUUUUUUUUCACUAAGAUUGCAAUGAGGAAAAAUAUUUCAUGAUUUCAUAAAAGAACUACGUUUGAUAUGGUCAAAUAUCCCCCCCCCCCCCCCAGUUUAACCAAUUUUUAAAUAUACGGUAUCAAAAAUCGAUCAAUUCUUCAUUAACAUUAUACAGAGGAUGUCUAUCACAUUUAUUUUAUAUUGGUCAUCUUUGUCCAAUAGUUCAAAAAGCUCUACCACAUGAAAUUCAAAUAAAAAACGCUGAGAGCUGAGAAUAAUUUUAUAAAAAAUAACAGUCUCUAAAACAGUAAUUCAGCCAAACAGCUAUUCAGUUGUAAAAACGUCUUUUAACGACCAUAUUUCAUAUAAAAUGGAUUAUAAAAAGUUUGUUCACUAUAGUCUGAAUAUAAUUGUGAAGGCUUUAUCAAAGAAUGAUAAUGGGUUUGAAAUGGUUGGUCUAUAUAUAGCCUGCUUUUUCUACUGUUGAAUAUGAUCAUUGAAUAUUGUUUUAUGUUACCUUCUUUGUAGGUUAACGUUUCAAAUUUUUAUUUAGACGUUUUGCUAAAUGUCUUUUCUGUAUUAGAAACAACACAUAAUUCAUAACAUGACUCCACACGUUCUGAUAUAAAAAACGUUUCCUUCAUUUGAUGCUAUGGAAAUAGUCAGUUUGGUCUAUUUCAUUUCCAUAACUCAUAUCUACAAGACGUACUAUUACAAAUCAUUCCAAAAUUGUUCAAUUCUGCUACAACAUAAAUGAAAUAC